AGAAAGACCUGGAUGAGCUGGGCGGGUUGGGGAGUCCUGUGGAUGGGGGCGUCCUGUGGAUGGGGACGGGUCUGACUGGGCUGGGCAUGGCAGUUUCUGAGGGGGCGCUAUCUGAACUGUGAGGCAUGAAACACCCCCACACCUGGUCUUCCUCCAGCCCCUGGGCUGCUCUACUCUCAGAGGCUCACUUCUUUCCCUCCCUGCCUGGGUUUUCUCCCAGCAAAGGGUGGAAGCUGCUGGUCUGGAGGGGGCGUGCCUGGAAGCCGAGGCCCAGCAGAGAACCUUGCUCUGGAAUCAGGGGUCCACACUCCCCUCCCUGAUGGACUCGAAGGCCUGCCAGUCCUUCCACGAGGCCCUAGAAGCCUGGGCAAAGGGACCAGGUGCCGAGCCCUUCUACAUUCGUGCCAACCUCACCUUACCUGAGAGGGCAGAUCCCCAUGCCCUUUGCGUGAAAGCCCAAGAGAUCCUUCGACUGGUGGACUCGGCAUACAAGCGGAGGCAGGAAUGGUUCUGCACCCGGGUUGACCCCCUCACUCUGCGGGACCUGGACCGGGGCACCGUGCCCAAUUAUCAGAGAGCCCAGCAGCUCCUAGAAGUUCAGGAGAAAUGCCUGCCCUCCAGCCGGCACCGAGGCCCCCGCAGUAAUCUGAAGAAGAGAGCCCUGGACCAACUGCGGCUGGUGAGGCCCAAGCCCGUGGGGGCGCCUGCAGCGGACUCCCCGGAUCAGCUGCUGCUGGAGCCCUGUGCAGAGCCGGAGCGGAGCCUCAGACCCUACAGUUUGGUGCGGCCGCUACUGGUGUCUGCCCUGCGGCCCGUGGUGCUGUUGCCUGAGUGCCUGGCGCCCCGGCUCAUCCGUAACCUGCUAGACCUGCCCAGCUCCCGGCUGGACUUCCAAGUGUGCCCAGCGGAAAGCCUCUCUGGGGAGGAACUGUGCCCAUCCUCAGCGCCUGGAGCCCCCAAGGCUCAGCCUGCCACCCCUGGGCUAGGCAGCAGGAUCCGGGCCAUCCAGGAGUCUGUUGGGAAGAAGCACUGCCUGCUGGAGCUGGGUGCUCGGGGUGUGCGGGAGCUGGUGCAGAACGAGAUCUACCCCAUCGUCAUCCACGUGGAGGUGACUGAGAAGAAUGUCCGGGAAGUCAGGGGUCUGCUGGGCCGGCCGGGCUGGCGGGACUCAGAGCUGCUGCGGCAGUGCCGUGGCUCAGAGCAGGUGCUCUGGGGGCUGCCCUGCUCCUGGGUGCAGGUGCCCGCCCAUGAGUGGGGACACGCAGAGGAGCUGGCCAAGGUGGUGCGCGGCCGCAUCCUGCAGGAGCAGGCCCGCCUCGUGUGGGUGGAGUGCGGCAGCAGCAGAGGCUGCCCCAGCAGCAGUGAGGCCUGAGGCUCAUCUGAUACCUGCACCUUCUUCCCAAGCCAGCGUGGACCCUGGUGUCUGUGGUGAAGCUGGGCCCUCCCACCCUGAGCCUUCCUAGACCCUUGGACUCUCAGAUGCAGGGCCCUUGGCUCUGGCCUCUCACCCCCAAGGCUGUCUCUGGCCCUGCCGAGCCUGUGGGAGUCCCGGGACAGAGCGCCCACCCCCCUCUACUUGCUGCUCUGGGCCUCCCCACCUUUGCUGGGGUCUCCACAUUCCCACUAGUGGGUCUUAUGUGUGUCUGUGUCUUCUCCUUAAACACUCGCCCUGGAGUCUGUUCUCACACCUGUGCGCAGGUUUGCACACUCAAGUUCUCAUGGGCAGGCUCAGGUCUGUCCCGCUGCCCUGGGCACGAGGUCUCCUGAGGACCUGGGCCUGUUCUGCUCCUAGGAGACCCGAGCCCGUUACCGCGUGACUCCCACCAUCCAGCUCACGCUCCUCAUGGAUUCAGCCAUGCAUGGACUGGGGUCUUCCCUGGCCCACGGUCACCUGUGCCCCUCGUGUCUCCUCACAUGGGUGUCUGUGGUUCUCUCCUGUGUAAAUGUCACGCCCCACCCCUGUUUCAUGUGGGCACUAACACGCGUGCGUUCCUGGCGGGCACACUCAGGACCGUGCCUCACAAGGCCCACUCCCUGCCUACGCCUCCCUCUUGGGGGGCCGAGGAGGGCGGCUGCUCUGUCAUGAGAAUGUACGGCCCGUGGAUGAUUAACGGGCCUUUUUCACUUAGAAGCUGCACAUUAUGGAACAUUAAACACUUUUGUCAUAGA
rnacentral:sRNA from 1 species